UUUUUACGGAGAGUUUGAUCCUGGCUCAGGAUGAACGCUGGCGGCGUGCUUAACACAUGCAAGUCGAACGAUGAUCUCCAGCUUGCUGGGGGGAUUAGUGGCGAACGGGUGAGUAACACGUGAGUAACCUGC
rnacentral:rRNA from 1 species